rnacentral:antisense_RNA from 1 species
CUGUCACCUGAAGAGGGCUGGUGAAGUGAAGCAAACAUUUGUUACCCUGGAGCUGUACAAGUCACACACAGCUCCACUUGAGAGAAAACUGGAUGGAACCAUUUGACUGAAAAUCCAUGUCCAAGGCCAACAAGAAAGAGCUGAGACACUGCAGAAAGAGCAGGAAUAAAUAAAAGGUGAAGACAGACAGAGACCAGACAAGGAGGACUCAAUUACAGACUGAUAGAAGACUCAAGGAAGAAAAUGAAGCUGGACCUGUGAAGAACUGUCGAAACAGCUGUAGAGGAAUUGUGGUGGAGGCAGUAAUGACUCCUUUAGUAGCAGAGAAUAGAAAGAUCUCGAAAACAAAGCCUAUUGUCAGGAGACUUGCACCCAUCCUGGCCUACUUCCAAGUAGAAACAGAAACAGAAACGAAGAUAUCCAUGACACCUAAUGUUAUAAGGAGAAGAAAGCACUUGUAAUCACAAGGGUACUGAGAAAAGGUAACAGACAAAUUUACAUUUGUGGAACCAGGAAUCUUUCUGAUGACUUUCAGAAAGAGUGGACAUACAAAUAAAAAUCAACCUUCUUUUUGGUGAGGAUUUGACCCUGGUUCCAUAUUAACCCAAGAGCUCAUAAGUACAAACCUGGAGUCCAGUUUUUAUGCAGAUAUAACAACUUUGCUUAUACCUUGAAUUACUUGUAUGAAGUGGGGAAAAUUUUUUACUCUCUCUGAACCCAUAAUUUAAAAAAAUUAAUAAACCCACUUCCUAGAAUUUUAUGAAUAUGAAAUAUUGCAUGAACUACCUAGUAUGUUAUUGAGCACAUGGUUUGUGUUUAAUAUGUGGAAGCUAGUAUUGCUAUUAUUGUUGUUGUUAUAAACAAUAGCACUUCUAUCUACAUAAUUCUCAAACUUUCCUCCUGAAUCUCAAGAUACUUUAGUGCAUUAAUUAUUAUUAACUUCAAUGCACAGAUUGAGAAAUUGGCAAAAAAUAUGCAAGCCACAGAGUGGAGAAAGAAAAUUCCAGUUGUCCGUAUUCCUUGUCAUGUAAUUUGCCACUGUAAUUAGAUCUACAUGAUGAUGACCUUUAGGGGACUGCCUCUGAGUGCUGAAUUGUUCAAUUCAUUAGAGUGGCACCAUCAAAAUGACCUGAUAAUGUUAACACAAUUGUCCUUGUACCAAGCAGAAGAGUACUUUCAUUCCUUUUCUGCCUGUAUUUCCAGGACUACACGUGCCCAGCAAAAAGCAGAAGCAGUGAAUGAACAAUUAUUUGGGAUGAUGCUAAUGGCUGAUGUCUCAGAGGAGGCAAGCACCCUUUCCCAGACAACCCAGUUUCUUGACUCUCAGCCUUCUUUGGUUUAACUUUGGAUUGUUAACCCUUUACUGCCUGAAACCUUGUCUAACUCCCUGUGCCUUUGGAGUACGAAGUUCCCAGUGUAUCAUCUGCAUUGAUUUUGGUUCCUGUUUCACAAGCUGUGCAUCACAGACCUUUAUCUUGCAAUUAUCCAUGGUCCGGAUGACCAACUUCAGCCUUAAAACCAGGAGCAGACUUUUCCAAUCAACUUUUGCAAAUUCAAGGGGAAAGAAAGAAAAGAACCAUGUAGGCUCUUGGAAGUUACUUCUCUUAGGGAAAAAGGAAGGAUAUAGCUUGAUAUUUUUACUGCAGUCUCCCCAAACCUCCCACCCAUCAUGCUGCCAACAUCAUUAUUAAUCUGUACCUUCUCUGGAAUUUUACGGGCAUGUUGAAUUCAUUGUCAGCUCCAGAAAAGAGCAAAGCAUGGUGUGGACAAUUUAAAACCACAUUCAGUUGCUUUAUUUUGGCCAAAAGUUUAAACAUUUUUGUCCUUUAUUAUAUUUUUUAGCUUGUUAAGCCAUUUGCAGAACUACUGCUAUAGAUUAAAGCUGACAGGUCUGAGCACAUAGUAUAAUUGUGUGAUGCACACAUGUGUGUAUUCCCUUCCCUACACACACACACACACACAUUCCAUCAGCAUGUCAGAUUUAUGGAAUUUGGAAUGUUUCUUUCUCUAGAGAAUGGUAUAACAUUUACAUAAAAUAUCAGCUUACAUUUUGUGAAAUUUGACAAAUUACUCAUAAAUCUCUCUUUCUCCCUUAAUCUGUUCUUGACAUGCCCCCAAAAGUUUUGAGAUGGCCUUAGUGAUACAUCUUAUACUCAUGUCAAGUAUUUUGUUGACAUCAAUAGGAGUUUUACUCAUGUAAAAACCCCUGGAUUGGGUUACCAGACACAUGAAGCAGACAAGAAGCAUUCAAAAGUUGCCAGUGAAUAAGAAGUGUCAAAUAAGUGUCCACCACAAGAGCAAAUAUCCCUGGGUAUCCAUUAACUUCAAUAAACAGAACAUAUUUGGCAGUGUGCUGUUUGACAUGGAUUUACAAAGGAGUUUGCCAAAUCAUUUUUUUCUUUCUCUCUGUGAAAUGUCAGUGAAAGAAAAAAUAGGGGGAUGGUGGUCCCAUUAUUGGAUAAUUUCUAUAAUAUUGUAUAAGAAAGAUAGGUUAUUUGAUAUUCAAGAUAUGUAUAGUGCACAGAGGCACCAAUUUGGUGGGGAAUUGAUGACUCUUUCACCAGUCUUCUAAGCACUGGCUUUUACAAAGCCAGUCCUAUGACUUACGGCCCCAUUCUUGAGUAAAACACAUUGGUUCAAUAUCUCUUGAUUGGUAUCUUAAAAAAUUGUUUAAAACAAAUGUUCUUCUAUUUCUGUUUUAGCAUUUACUUUUGUUUGCAUAUGACUAAGGCUGUUUCUUUUUGGUAAAUUUAAUUUGGUAUAGUUUGGCCCCCAACACUGAAAGAAUGCCAUCCUCUGAGAUAGGGCUGCCAACUAUGGCAAGUAGCAUUGCAAAGUAUAUAAAUUUGCUCUAUAUACUUUUCAGACUUCUCAGAUGCAGUCACUGACAUUUGGCCUGAUCUAGGAAACCCUGGGGAUUAGAAAAACACAAAGCAUACUACUGUACUGACAUGCAAAAUGUCUUAUAAUCUGUCUUUAUCUUUCAUGGCUGCAGUGGUCUGGAUAAAUUAGACCAAAUUGGGCUAAACACUGUCCUUGGCUACACUCACGUAGCUGUUUUCAACGGCUAAUAGGAGCUGUGUGUGCACAUCCAAGGACAGGAUUUGGCCCCCUUUGUCUUUGCACAAGCAGUUGCUUUAGUUGAUAUGAUUAUUCCUGAAUGACUGUUUUAUAAGCAGUGUUUUUGCCCAGUUUAAAUCUUUUUUCACUUUUUUCUUCAUAGUCAAGACAUUUAUGAAUAUGGAAACGUGUAACCUAAAAUCUUCGGUUUCCGGAAAAAUAAAAAUCUCCCUAAUAAAACCUGUGAAAAUUGCAAAUGAACUGGGAAAGAGGUAAAGCAAGUCAUAUAAAUGUUGGCAAAAACACAAGUAACACUGAGAAGACAUGUUAACACUCAUUAAUGGUUAACAAUCUGAUUAAAAUUUUUACAGCACGUUGAUCCUUGGCCUUUCAAAAGGGAAUCUGUCAUUAAAUAAUAUUUUCAAGGAAAAUAC